rnacentral:lncRNA from 1 species
ACAAUAUUUACAACUCUUAUUGUAGCUUGCCUUCUCUGUUCAUAUUCCACAAAAGCCACAGAACCCCUCAUCCACAGCAUAAACCAUCAUAUUUAUAUUUAUCAACAUAUCAUAGUACAUGCAUCUCUAGAAACCAUAGUGCCACACCAUUCUUACUAAAACCAUUAGGUAUACAACACUAGAUACCCACUUCAUCAAGGAUGGGGUGGACCAUGUGGUGCAGGUGGACCGGGUGGGGGCGGUGCAUGGGGAGCAGGAUGCCCCCCACGUCCAGGAGGAGGAGGAGCAGGAGCAUGUGGACCUACUGGGCCUCCAUGAGGAGCACCAGGACCAUGUGGCUCAUGGCCUUGUGGCUUGUGAGGCUGGGGAGGAUCCAUCUUCCAACUUCUUCCUCUUGUCCUCCUGCCUUAACAUAGAGAAGGCUGAAGAAUAAGUAGACAGCAGAAGAGAAUGUUAGAGUUGACUGGGCUUGUGAGAAUGUUAGAGUUGAUGAGUUUGUUUGAUAUCUGUAGGUCAUACCUGCAAUUCUUGGGGGCGAGAUUCUUAUUGCGCCGCGCGCGGUGAUUGGCAAGCCCGGAGGCCCCUCACCCUACCCCACCCGGCUUGUUUGUUCGAUAUCUGUAGGUCAUACCUGCAAACCUGCAAUUCUUGGGGGCGAGAUUCUUAUUGCGCCGCGCGCGGUGAUUGGCGCGCCCGGAGCCCCUCAAC